rnacentral:lncRNA from 1 species
GGCAUGAUUUAGGACUGCUGGCAGUGACUGCUUGUUAUUUCUUAUCUUGGAGCUGUCAGGAGGAAACUGAUGUCAGCAUAAAAAUAUUUGAUAGGCCUACAUCUUGGGUAAAAUGUGAAUCUAUUGAUGUCUAAAAUAGCAACCAAAGGCUCAGAAUUGGGUUUGGAGAUAUUUAAAAAUUUGAAAAAAAAAAAGUUUGCUUUGUUUGUGACUUUGUGGCCUUUGUUUAAAAUUUGGUCCACAUCAAAUGAGGCAUCACCCAGAACAGGAUGAACACUGGUGGCACUCAUUAACCAGGACAGUCAUUCAACCCUGGCAACAGCCAUCAGAGAAAUAGUCUCCUUUUGAUGCUUAUUUGAUUUAGCAGUGUAUUCCUGGAAGAUGUUUGACCUGGGAUUCAGGUGCAGGCAAUGUGGUUUGAAAGCCCUUAGUAGUCUUUGCGUUCCUUUUCCUCCCCAAUUCAUGAAAGUAAAGAUUCUAGGUUGAUCGAAUUCUUUCCCUGUAAUGCCGCUGAUUUUUUUUUCUUGGUUUUAAUUCAAGAAAAUGGUGGAAGAAGAUAGUAAUUAAGAGCAUGUAGGAUCCAACAAUACUGUGUGACUAGUGGAAUAUUCUUUAUCAUCCUAGUAGCUUUUUUUGAGCCAGUAUGGCUUUAAUAGGACAAUAAUAGCAUAAAUAGGAUUGGUUACUGACCAAUUCUCUGCAAUGUUCUUAGAGAAUACAUUGAAAAUUUGUAUAUUAGUAAAGAAAGUAGUAAUUCUGUGAGGACUG